rnacentral:rRNA from 1 species
GAUGAACGCUAGCGGCAGGCUUAACACAUGCAAGUCGAGGGGUAGAGGAAGCUUGCUUCCUUGAGACCGGCGCACGGGUGCGUAACGCGUAUGCAACCUACCUUUUACAGAGGGAUAGCCCAGAGAAAUUUGGAUUAAUACCUCAUAGUAUAUAGUCUUCGCAUGUUGACUAUAUUAAAGUUCCUACGGUAAAAGAUGGGCAUGCGUCCUAUUAGCUAGAUGGUAAGGUAACGGCUUACCAUGGCAACGAUAGGUAGGGGUCCUGAGAGGGAGAUCCCCCACACUGGUACUGAGACACGGACCAGACUCCUACGGGAGGCAGCAGUGAGGAAUAUUGGACAAUGGGCGCAAGCCUGAUCCAGCCAUGCUGCGUGCAGGAAGAAGCAUCUAUGGUGUGUAAACUGCUUUUGUACAGGAAGAAACACCCCGACGUGUCGGGACUUGACGGUACUGUAAGAAUAAGGAUCGGCUAACUCCGUGCCAGCAGCCGCAGUAAGAC